GACCACAGUCAAGUCUGGGGCAAUCUGGGCCAACCCAGCCUGUUUCUUUAAAGGCUCGUGCUGGGAGGAGAGAUCCUCAUCCUGGGAAGACAUAGAGCCAGGCCCAGUCAGGUGGAUGCAAGAGAUGCUAUUCAGACAUGGCAGUGGGAUAGACGGACGAGUUCUGGAAUGAGCUCUGGCAUCUCAUCAGGAGCAUAGACUACUGCCUGAGGUCAGAGCCAACAGUCAGCAAAUACAGGGGAAAAGACUUUGGACCAUUGUAAGGAUUAGCCAGUUCUCUGGAACUAUGUGGACAGAGGUUCUGCAUAAGUAGGCAUCGUGUUUAUCUCAUUCUCUGUUUGAGCUGCAGCACUCAUUACAGGAGCAUGAGGCAAAAUUGGAUCUGAUAAAUCUCCACUGAAGGAGGAACUGGAGAUGGCUCUGACCAGCUACUGCAGCCGACACCAAGCUCUUGGAAGACAAACAAGAAGAGCAAGAGGAGAUGUUGCCAUAGUAGGAGGCAGGCCUCAGACCAGGAUGCUUCAGAGGCAGGCAGUGAAUUAUGGAGUUGCCCAGGGCCUAGGAGAACUGAGUGAGAUGCCAGAAGAUGAGGGGCCUCAGAUGCGUGGGCUCAGGGAUGCACACGUGAGCUUGUGUUAUCCUCUUCAGGACCAGCAAAGAGGAGUGAGUGGGAAGUCCUGUGCUUCUUCACACGUGAGCAAAAUACUCUGAGGGUGGGCAUCACACAGCUAGAAGUGAUAAA